ensembl:snRNA U2 U2 spliceosomal RNA
AUCGCUUCUCGGCCUUUUGGCUAAGAUCAAGUGUAGUAUCAAGUACUCAGCAGAAAUUCUUGAAGUCAAACCCUCCUUCCUUUCUUUUUCAUGGCAGCAUACUAUGCCUCAGAGUCCUUGUACUUGCUGUUUCCUCUGCCUUCAAUGCAAUUUCCUAAGAUAUCUGCAU